rnacentral:rRNA from 1 species
UACAGAGGGGGCAAGCGUUGUUCGGAAUUACUGGGCGUAAAGGGCGCGUAGGCGGCCUGCUAAGUCGAACGUGAAAUCCCCGGGCUCAACCCGGGAACUGCGUCCGAUACUGGUGGGCUCGAAUCCGGGAGAGGGAUGUGGAAUUCCAGGUGUAGCGGUGAAAUGCGUAGAUAUCUGGAGGAACACCGGUGGCGAAGGCGACAUCCUGGACCGGUAUUGACGCUGAGGCGCGAAAGCCAAGGGAGCAAACGGG